ensembl:snRNA U6 U6 spliceosomal RNA
GUGCUCACUUCAGCAGCACAUAUACUAAAAUUGGAACAAUAGAGAGAUUAGCCUGGCACCUGCACAAGGAUGACACACAAAUUCGUGAAGUGUUCCAUACUUUU